AUUGAGCGCUGGCGGCAUGCUUUACACAUGCAAGUCGAACGGUAACAGGGUGCUUACACCGCUGACGAGUGGCGAACGGGUGAGUAAUACAUCGGAAUGUACCCAGUAAUGGGGGAUAACGCUUCGAAAGGAGUGCUAAUACCGCAUACGCCCUGAGGGGGAAAGUGGGGGACCGCAAGGCCUCACGUUAUUGGAGCAGCCGAUGGCUGAUUAGCUAGUUGGUGAGGUAAAGGCUCACCAAGGCGACGAUCAGUAGCGGGUCUUAGAGGACGAUCCGCCACACUGGAACUGAGCCACGGUCCAGACUCCUACGGGAGUCAGCAGUGGGGAAUCUUGGACAAUGGGCGAAAGCCUGAUCCAGCAAUGCCGCGUGCGUGAAGAAGGCCUUCGGGUUGUAAAGCGCUUUUGUCUGGGAGCAAAUCGUGGCCUCUAAUACAGGUCGGGGAUGAGAGUACCAGAAGAAUAAGGACCGGCUAACUACGUGCCAGCCGCCGCCGUAA
rnacentral:rRNA from 1 species